GAUGAACGCUGGCGGCGUGCCUAAUACAUGCAAGUCGAGCGAACGGACGAGAAGCUUGCUUUUCUGAUGUUAGCGGCGGACGGGUGAGUAACACGUGGAUAACCUACCUAUAAGACUGGGAUAACUUCGGGAAACCGGAGCUAAUACCGGAUAAUAUUUUGAACCGCAUGGUUCAAAAGUGAAAGACGGUCUUGCUGUCACUUAUAGAUGGAUCCGCGCUGCAUUAGCUAGUUGGUAAGGUAACGGCUUACCAAGGCAACGAUGCAUAGCCGACCUGAGAGGGUGAUCGGCUACACUGGAACUGAGACACGGUCCAGACUCCUACGGGAGGCAGCAGUAGGGAAUCUUCCGCAAAGGGCGAAAGCCUGACGGAGCAACGCCGCGUGAGUGAUGAAGGUCUUCGGAUCGUAAAACUCUGUUAUUAGGGAAGAACAUAUGUGUAAGUAACUGUGCACAUCUUGACGGUACCUAAUCAGAAAGCCACGGCUAACUACGUG
rnacentral:rRNA from 1 species